ACGGUAGACGAAAGAUCAUAAGUUCUUAACCUAAUCUUCAUUUCUUUCUCCCAAAUUUGCCCCAAUUCAUUGUCACUCGCCAAACAGACCAAGGAAUUAUAUGUAUAAUCACCACAAAGAAAUCAACAGCUGAACAGGGGAGAUGCAAACAUCAGUGCAAUUACUAAUUCAAUCAAGAUUGAAAUCAAUUCUUCCCCACGAAACUGAAAUCAAUAACUGAUAUCAUCAAUAAGGCUUGAUGGAUGAAAAUGAUAUCACACCAAAAGCCACCAAAACCCUACGAUUUCAAUCCCAUAAAUCCGAUCAAUUCUCCCUCUCCAGCACUUGGACCCGCCGAUCGAGUAUCUCUUCUAGAAGUGACACAGUUCCUCUAAUAAACAAGAUGCUGUGUUGUGUUAGUAUAAAGAUAUCACGCAGUUUUAAGGGGUGUUUGGAUGCACUAUUAAAUCGGUAACGGUUGUUUGGAGUUGCAAUUAUCAGUCUUGAGUAUGACUAUUGAGAGAAAUGUAGAUUUAGCGUUGUUUCGCCGGCCACCGGCGCUGCUGCUCCGCCGCCGGUCUCAAGGUAUGCACAAAUCAAGAUUUAAUUUUUUCAGUUUCAUGUUUUUUUGGUUUUGAAUUGUAUUUUUUAGUUGUUGUUAAGGUUAUUAUUUUACAAAUAUACUUCUGAUAAUCUUAUUUAGGUUUCAAUGUAAGUCAAAGAGAUAUGGGUGGACAAAAAAAAGUGUUGACGAUCCACCCUUGUUGGAAAAUUAUCCAUUGAUUUGGGGAGUUGAGAUGAAAUCGACUUUCAGUUUUUGUUUGUUCUUCUCUAAUAAUUAUAUUCGUUUUUGAUGGAUAAUUUAGCUUUUUUUGUCUAUGGCAAGUCAAAUUAAAAAAAAAAAACAUUCUCUUUUAAUAUGCUGACAAAACCCGCAUUACCUGCCCUUGAGUGUCUUGUUCAUUCAAAUGAUGAAGAGGUGUGGAGUGAUGCUUGUGGACUAUGGUAUAAAUAACAAUUUUAGCUGUCAUUGAGGAUCAAAAGCCUAACAAUACAAAAGUGACGGGCCGCUACUACUAAAUCUUCAUGGAAUGCACCUGCUAUUUUUCUAGAGAUGGUUGGGUCGGGUAAUGGGUAUUUUUUGUGCUGGUCAAGAUGGGGUGAGUUAGGUUUGGGACGACCUGCAAAUGCUUCCUUUUUCUUUUCUUGUUCUUUCUUUUCAUGAUCAUUGUUGGCAAACCAUCUGGCUGAAUUAGUGACAUGAUCCAUGAUAAUAAGAGCUUUUCAUCAAGAAGAACGAUUCUUUGCCAAAAAUUGUGAAGUUGUUAAUAAUAAUGCAAGUCCUUGCACAGUUUUGCUGCAAAUAAUUGGUUGAUCCAACGGCUAGAAGCAAUCAGUGCAACUGUUUUAUCAGCUUCAGAACUCUACAUGGUGUUGCUUCCUCCUGGAACUUUGGAUAUAGAGAAGGAAAUGAAAAGAAGUGAGAAUCCUGACUCUAUGGAUGCGGAUAAAGAGGAGGUGGCAGAGAUUAAGGCGGCCCACUUUGAGGAUAUGCUUGCAGAAGUGUGAGUGAUGUUGACAUAAGGAAAUACCAAGCAUUUGCUUAGACGCUGCAGCAGUCUCGAGGAUUUGGGUUGGAAUUUCGGCUUCCUAAAUCAACAUCUUGGACUGGUGGUGGUGAUGAUUCUGACCCAUUUGCCGCCCAUGCUGGCGAUGCUGAUGAUGAUGACUUGUACAGCUAGAUUUACAUAAAUCAUGUUGAAGUGGAGAUUCAUGAGGAAUUAUACGUUUUAUAUCCUAUACCAGUUGCCAAUUUACUCAUGGUUUUUAAACCUACUUUAUUAAUAUGGCUUAUGCUUUUGUUGUUGGAACUUGUAUUCACGUUUCUUGUUAUGAAUUUGGAUUCAGCAUUCUGUUAUAGAGCAUGGAAUUGUUGGGCGUUCUGACUUUAUGCUUCCAUAUUAUGAGGGUUUUUUUUCUUUUCUACAUAUUCAUACAGGUUAAGCAUGUUUUGGCUUCAAUGGUUCUAAAAGGCAUUGGCGGCAUUUUAUUUGUAUGUGGCAGCACCACCGGUGGCUAUUUGCUGAAAAUCAGAGACGGGUUAGUUCCCGAAUGAAGUUCGAAUAUCCGUCACAUUACAGCAGUGACCCGCAUACAAAGGCGGAUCAAGGAGGAAAGAGUUUUUCAGGAUCUGAAGAUGUUGAGACAUUGGGUUCCUGAUGAUUUAAAACUUUAUUAUUGGCAUUUCUUUUGUUAAAACAUUAUAAUCUUUAGCUCCAUUUUUAACAAGUUUUAUUUAUAAUGCGCA